rnacentral:tRNA from 1 species
AACUUCGUGGUCGAAUGGUAAGAACACUUGCCUUUCACCCUGGAAUCCCGGGUUCGAUCCCUGGUCGAGGAGCUA